rnacentral:rRNA from 1 species
UACGGGGGGGGCAAGCGUUGUUCGGAAUUACUGGGCGUAAAGGGCUCGUAGGCGGCCAACUAAGUCGGACGUGAAAUCCCUCGGCUUAACCGGGGAACUGCGUCUGAUACUGGAUGGCUUGAGUUUGGGAGAGGGAUGCGGAAUUCCAGGUGUAGCGGUGAAAUGCGUAGAUAUCUGGAGGAACACCGGUGGCGAAGGCGGCAUCCUGGACCAACACUGACACUGAUGAGCGAAAGCCAGGGGAGCAAACGGG